GCGUGGAGACAGGUGGUGCAUGGCUGUCGUCAGCUCGUGUCGUGAGAUGUUGGGUUAAGUCCCGCAACGAGCGCAACCCUCGCCCCUGGUUGCCACCGGGUAAAGCCGAGCACUCGAGGGGAACUGCCAGCGUCAAGCUGGAGGAAGGGCGGGGAUGACGUCAAGUCAUCAUGCCCCUUACGCCCUGGGCUACACACGUGCUACAAUGGCCGGUACAAAGGGACGCGAGACCGCGAGGUGGAGCUAAUCCCAAAAAACCGGUCUAAGUUCAGAUUGCAGUCUGCAACUCGACUGCAUGAAGGAGGAAUCGCUAGUAAUCGCGCAUCAGCACGGCGCGGUGAAUACGUUCCCGGGCCUUGUACACACCGCCCGUCACACCACGAAAGCUGUCUGUACUCGAAGUCGCUGAG
rnacentral:rRNA from 1 species